GUUUUUAGCUUUAAAUUUUAUUUGGACAUGUGGCACUCUCUUAGGUGUUGAUGUGUCACUCAUUAGAAGUUGAAGAGCUUACAUUAAUUAUUUAAUAGACACAUGGCAAAUAGCUUUAUAUGAAAGUUGGCCAACUCUCUCCAUAUGGUUGCCACAUCAUCACUUUAGCAUUUGUCAUGUGUCUAUUAAAUAAUUAAUGUAAGCUCUUCAACUUCUAAUUUAUAGGUUAAUGAUAUAUUUAUUAUUU
rnacentral:sRNA from 1 species